GGGGCUGUAGCUCAGUGGGUAGAGCACCGGUCUGGCAGACCGGCGGUCGGGAGUUCGAAUCUCCCCAGUUCCACCA
rnacentral:tRNA from 3 species